rnacentral:rRNA from 1 species
AUUGAACGCUGGCGGCAUGCUUUACACAUGCAAGUCGAACGGUAACAGGGUGCUUGCACCGCUGACGAGUGGCGAACGGGUGAGUAAUGCGUCGGAACGUGCCGAGUAGUGGGGGAUAACGCAGCGAAAGUUGUGCUAAUACCGCAUACGUACUGAGGUAGAAAGUGGGGGACCUUCGGGCCUCACGCUAUUCGAGCGGCCGACGUCUGAUUAGCUAGUAGGUGAGGUAAAGGCUCACCUAGGCGACGAUCAGUAGCGGGUCUGAGAGGAUGAUCCGCCACACUGGGACUGAGACACGGCCCAGACUCCUACGGGAGGCAGCAGUGGGGAAUUUUGGACAAUGGGCGCAAGCCUGAUCCAGCCAUGCCGCGUGCGGGAAGAAGGCCUUCGGGUUGUAAACCGCUUUUGUCAGGGAAGAAAAGGCUCCUGUUAAUACCGGGGGCUCAUGACGGUACCUGAAGAAUAAGCACCGGCUAACUACGUGCCAGCCGCCGCCGUAAAAC